rnacentral:rRNA from 1 species
GGACUACAAGGGUAUCUAAUCCGUUUUGCUCCCCACGCUUUCGUGCCUCAAUGUCAGUAACAGAAUAGUUAACUGCUUUCGCCGUUAUUGAUGUUCCUCCAUAUAUCGUCACAUUUUACCGCUCCACAUGGAAUUCCGUUAACCUCUCCUGCACUCUAGUGUGGCAGUAUUACCAACUUCCACGAGGUUGAGCCUCGAUUUCCCGCUGAUAACUUACCAUACCAUCUACGCACCCUUUACGCCCAAUAAUUCCGGAUAACGUUCGCCACCUAUGUCUUACCGCGGCUGCUGGCAC